AUGUUAGGGAUGGAUAUGACUAGUGCCUCACCCAAACCUACUGCAUGCUUCCAGCUCAUCCAGCAACUCCAGCAGCACCCAGUCUCCUGCAGGAGGAAGCAGCUUCUCCAGGGCCUGGCUCUUGCAACCUGUUGUGACCAGCAGGGCCCAGCUUCCCCCAGAACUCCCUUGAAGAGCCUAGGAGUGAAAUGCCCCCCUCAAGGAGUCUCCUGUGACAAUUUCCCAGGGCAAUCCCCAAGAAAGUUUUGAGCUUUCAGGACUUCCUUUGGAAAGCAUUCACUGACCCCUCCAAGACUGGAUCAAGUGCCUAAGCGCCCCAUGUGAGACUAUUGUAAGAUGCCCACGCUGUUGGUCACUGACUGAUUACUCAUCCAUGUUUCCGCUGGACUGUCAGCUCCCCAAGGGCAGGAACUGUGUCUUCCUCAGAGUUGAAUCUGCAGGACCAGCACAGUUCCCAGCCAAACCAGCUCCUCAACCUAUGCCAUAGAAGGCAUGCACACUUUGUACUUAGAGCCACUGCUCCCCCUAACUGGAGCCUCUAAAUGCAGGUGGAUGGACCUCCUGAGAAACUGGGUGCCUGAAUUUGGAUAAAGAGUUCAGAGACAGGAACAAAGAGUAUUGUCUCCAGAGACCUUUCCCAUGUGGACUUUGAAUGCUCAUAGCUACAUCCCCCUUUAUUUCUCUGAUCACCUUUGCUCUCUACCCCUUAAAGUUCACUUAGCACUUUAUGUAGUACUGGAAAGAAAGUGGGCUUUGCAGUGAAGCCUGAUUUUUUGCCUCAUAGUGUUCUGCUUACCAGAGUCUUGGACAAAAUGGUAAGAAAACAGUCUUCCUCUCUCAAGCAGGAUGGGAUUCAUCUCCUUUCAAUACUGCAUACAUGCCUGUCUGAGGUUUACGGUGUUAUUUCUCUGUUCUAGUUCUACUAACAUUUCACUGAGAUUUGUGGGCAUAAAGAUUUAUGGAAAAAAUGGGAGCAGACAGGCAAGAAUAGCAGGACAAUGAAAGAAGCUAUAGGAUGUUAGAAGAGUUCAGGUGGAGCACGUUUGUCAGGAAAAAAUCUAAAUAUCAAAUAUUUAGUGUAAGAGUAUAUGGAACAACUAUGUCAUAAAUUUGUCUCCAAAAGCAUUUAGCAGAGUGCCCAAAAUAGAUUAUGUACUAAACAAAUGCUUACUGA
rnacentral:lncRNA from 1 species